UAAAAACCCCGGCUUCGGAAGGGGUGUAUUUAUUAGAUACAAAACCAAUGCCCUUCGGGGCUCUUUGGUGAUUCAUGAUAACUAUACGAAUCGCACGGCCUUGCGCCGGCGAUGGUUCAUUCAAAUUUCUUCCCUAUCAACUUUCGAUGUUUGGGUAUUGGCCAAACAUGGUUGCAACGGGUAACGGAGGGUUAGGGCUCGACCCCGGAGAAGGAGCCUGAGAAACGGCUACUACAUCCAAGGAAGGCUGCAGGCGCGCAAAUUACCCAAUCCCGACUCGGGGAGGUAGUGACAAUAAAUACUGAUACAGGGCCCUUUCGGGCCUUGUAAUUGGAAUGAGUACAAUUUAAAUCCCUUAACGAGGAACAAUUGGAGGGCAAGUCUGGUGCCAGCAGCCGCGGUAAUUCCAGCUCCAACAGCGUAUAUUAAAGUUGUUGUGGUUAAAAAGCUCGUAGUUGAACCUUGGGCCUGGCUGGCCGGUCCGCCUCACCGCGUGCACUGGUCCGGCCGGGCCUUUCCCUCUGUGGAACCCCAUACCCUUCACUGGCGUGGCGGGGAAACAGGACAUUUACUUUG
rnacentral:rRNA from 1 species